rnacentral:rRNA from 1 species
AUACGUAGGGAGCGAGCGUUGUCCGGAAUUACUGGGCGUAAAGGGCGCGUAGGCGGCGCUUCAAGUCGUCUGUCAAAUGGAAGGGCUUAACCCUUUUUCGCAGACGAAACUGGAGAGCUUGAGAAGCAGAGAGGCAAACAGAAUUCCUGGUGUAGCGGUGAAAUGCGUAGAUAUCAGGAAGAAUACCAGUGGCGAAGGCGGUUUGCUGGCUGCAUACUGUCGCUGAAGCGCGAAAGCCAGGGGAGCGAACGGGAUUAGAUACCCCGGUAGUCCUGGCAGUAAACGAUGUAUGCUGGGUGUGAGACUAGCGAUAGUUUCGUGCCGAAGUUAACGCGAUAAGCAUACCGCCUGGGGAGUACGGUCGCAAGAAUGAAACUCAAAUGAAUUGACGGGG